rnacentral:rRNA from 1 species
AAGGACGCGGCAAGCUGCGAUAAUCCCCGGCGAGGAGCACACAUCCUUCGACCCGGGGGUCUCCGAAUGGGCGAACCCAUGCACAGCAGUGUGCAUAUCCCCACCCCGAACACAUAGGGGCGGGGAGGACAACCCGGGGAACUGAAACAUCUAAGUACCCGGAGGAGAGGAAAUCAAUCUCGAGACUCCCCGAGUAGCGGC